rnacentral:rRNA from 1 species
CGCACGGGUGCGUAACGCGUAACCAACCUACCCGAAUCUGGGGGAUAGCCCGCCGAAAGGCGGAUUAAUACCGCAUAACACUGCAGCGCGGCAUCGCGCAACAGUUAAAGAUUUAUUGGAUUCGGAUGGGGUUGCGUGCCAUUAGCUAGUUGGGGGGGUAACGGCCCACCAAGGCGACGAUGGCUAGGGGAGCUGAGAGGCUGGUCCCCCACACGGGCACUGAGAUACGGGCCCG